GUCUGUGUAGAUUAUUUUUAAAUCGUGAUGCUGUUAACUUCAAAAAGAGUGUUGCUCCACGGUCG
rnacentral:tRNA from 1 species